rnacentral:rRNA from 1 species
GACGAACGCUGGCGGCGUGCUUAACACAUGCAAGUCGAACGGAAAGGCCCUGCUUGCUUGGUGUGCUCGAGUGGCGAACGUGUGAGUAACACGUGUAUAACCUGCCCUUGUCUUUGGUAUAACUUCAGGAAACGGUGUCUAAUACCGUAUAGGAGCUCCCCCCGCGGUGUGGGGUUGGGAAAUUUUCGGCUGUUGGGGGUGGACUCGCCGCUUAUGAGCUUGUUGGUGGGGUAGGGGCUUACCAAGGGUUUGAGGGGUCCGCCGCCUGAGAGGGUGACCGGCCACAAUGGGAAUGAGAUACCGGCCCGAAUCCUACCGGAGGGAAGAGUGGGGAAUAAUGCACCAAGGGCGGCAGCCUUAAGGAGCAACCCCGCGUUGGGGAAGACCGCCUUUCGGGUGGAAACCGUUUUCGACUGGGAAGAAGCGGGAGUGAAGGUAACCGGCAAAGAAGCACCGGCUAACUACGUG